GAUGAACGCUGGCGGCGUGCCUAAUACAUGCAAGUCGAGCGAACGGACGAGAAGCUUGCUUCUCUGAUGUUAGCGGCGGACGGGUGAGUAACACGUGGAUAACCUACCUAUAAGACUGGGAUAACUUCGGGAAACCGGAGCUAAUACCGGAUGAUAUUUUGAACCGCAUGGUUCAAAAGUGAAAGACGGUCUUGCUGUCACUUAUAGAUGGAUCCGCGCUGCAUUAGCUAGUUGGUAAGGUCACGGCUUACCAAGGCAACGAUGCAUAGCCGACCUGAGAGGGUGAUCGGCCACACUAGAACUGAGACGCGGUCCAGACUCCUACGGGAGGCAGCAGUAGGGAAUCGUCCGCAAAGGGCGAAAGCCUGACGGAGCAACGCCGCGUGAGUGAUGAAGGUCUUCGGAUCGUAAAACUCUGUUAUUAGGGAAGAACAUAUGUGUAAGUAACUGUGCACAUCUUGACGGUACCUAAUCAGAAAGCCACGGCUAACUACGUG
rnacentral:rRNA from 1 species